CCGCGGGAUUAGAGUUUGAUCCUGGCUCAGGACGAACGCUGGCGGCGUGCCUAACACAUGCAAGUCGAACGAGGCCCAAGCAGUGGCAACACUGUGGAAGGUCUAGUGGCGAACGGGUGAGUAACACGUGAGGAACCUGCCCCGAAGACCGGGAUAACCCUCCGAAAGGAGAGCUAAUACCGGAUGCCCCCAUCAGAUCGCAUGGUCAGAUGAGGAAAUGGAUUCCGCUUCGGGAGGGCCUCGCGGCCUAUCAGCUUGUUGGUGGGGUAACGGCCCACCAAGGCAUCGACGGGUAGCUGGUCUGAGAGGACGAUCAGCCACACUGGGACUGAGACACGGCCCAGACUCCUACGGGAGGCAGCAGUGGGGAAUCUUGCGCAAUGGGCGAAAGCCUGACGCAGCAACGCCGCGUGGGGGAUGAAGGCUCUCGGGUUGUAAACCCCUUUCAGUGGGGACGAAAUUGACGGUACCCACAGAAGAAGCCCCGGCCAACUACGUGCCAGCAGCCGCGGUAACACGUAGGGGGCAAGCGUUGUCCGGAUUUAUUGGGCGUAAAGAGCUCGUAGGCGGUUCGGUAAGUCGGGUGUGAAACCUCCAGGCUCAACCUGGAGACGCCACCCGAUACUGCUGUGACUAGAGUCCGGUAGGGGAGCGUGGAAUUCCUGGUGUAGCGGUGAAAUGCGCAGAUAUCAGGAGGAACACCAGCGGCGAAGGCGGCGCUCUGGGCCGGAACUGACGCUGAGGAGCGAAAGCGUGGGGAGCAAACAGGAUUAGAUACCCUGGUAGUCCACGCCGUAAACGUUGGGCACUAGGUGUGGGGUCUUAUCAACGGAUUCCGUGCCGUAACUAACGCAUUAAGUGCCCCGCCUGGGGAGUA
rnacentral:rRNA from 1 species